CCCUUUCCCAGCGAGAAGCACGCUCAGCACGGACAAAACUCGAGCCCCUCCAUUGGCAUUUUCCUUUGGUUCCUGCACACACACACACACACACUCACACUCACACACACUUUUUUCCAAACUGUCCCGCUCAGGACCAAGACGUCCCAUCUGCAGAUAGCAACAGGACAGGACUGGUACCCCUCGACGCACACAGCAGCAACCCACCGUCAUGUCGGACUCUGAGACCGCCGCCGCCGCCCCCGCUGAGGCCCCCGUCCCCGCUGCCUGUGCCAGCAUCAAGGCUGACCUGGACAAAUGUGUGGCGGAGAACGGAGCCGAGGCCUGCAAGGAGCUGAUGGAGGCCUUCGCUGCUUGUGUGAAGAGUGCUGCCGAGGGGACGUCAUGAGGAGUGGCCCCUCCAAACUCCACUGUCAGGCUGUCCCUUCAUAUGGUCCACUGCACUGAGUCCUCCAAGUUCCCAGCAUUCCCUUCUGCACAACAGCACUGGACUGGAUGAUGACAACGAUGUUGAUGAUGGCGAUCGUGGCGUGUUGAUUCGGGCGAUGUACGGGAUCUGGCAGCAGUAACCACCGUUCCCUCCCCCCUGUUUUAGCCUUAUCUGGUGUCCCUCGGUCUUACCUCCAUUCCCCCUCUCCACUCUCUGACUGACGCACAGUACAUCGACUCGCAGACAGUUCCAGAGAGCCGAUGGGCUGUAAUGUAAAUUGUUGACUCGAGAUGAAAACUUAUAAAUGAAAAUAAAAGUAUCAAAUAAUUGCUAUUAAAAAGAAA